AUCUUGUGUGGUGGUUCUUUUGUGCAACAAUGACAGUGAACUUUGGAGACCAAGUUUCUUCCAGAUGAUUACAGGCCUCGAUAAUCUGAUUGAGCUCAAUGUUUAUGACUUGGUUGAACUGGGACUCACUUACUCCAUCUCUGAAGAUGAUGAUAUGCUCAGGUUUCACAUUUUUAGAACUAACGUAGAAGUCCCUGAGCAGCUCCCUGAAAAGGCCCUCAUCUACGGUAUCUG
rnacentral:misc_RNA from 1 species